UCCCAGACUCCUACGGGAGGCAGCAGUGAGGAAUAUUGGUCAAUGGGCGAGAGCCUGAACCAGCCAAGUCGCGUGAGGGAAGACUGCCCUAUGGGUUGUAAACCUCUUUUGUCAGGGAGCAAUUGGCGCUACGUGUAGCGUUAUCGAGAGUACCUGAAGAAAAAGCAUCGGCUAACUCCGUGCCAGCAGCCGCGGUAAUACGGAGGAUGCGAGCGUUAUCCGGAUUUAUUGGGUUUAAAGGGUGCGUAGGCGGAAUGCCAAGUCAGCGGUAAAAUCGCGGGGCUCAACCUCGCUCCGCCGUUGAAACUGGCGUUCUUGAGUGGGCGAGAAGUAUGCGGAAUGCGUGGUGUAGCGGUGAAAUGCAUAGAUAUCACGCAGAACUCCGAUUGCGAAGGCAGCAUACCGGCGCCCAACUGACGCUGAAGCACGAAAGCGUGGGUAUCGAACAGGAUUAGAUACCCGCGUA
rnacentral:rRNA from 1 species